CCAAGAGUAGCGGAAGUGACGACACGAAGUGCGCCAAUAAAUAGCCGUAGGCGGAACUUGACUCUCUCUCGGCCUUAGCGCCAUCUUCCUGGAAACCACUGCGCUAUGAGAGCCAAGUGGAGGAAGAAGCGAAUGCGCAGGCUGAAGCGCAAAAGAAGAAAGAUGAGGCAGAGGUCCAAGUAAGCAAGUUUGUGCACACGUCGAGGCCUGAGGAACAGAUACAAGGAAUGCCACAGGCCCAGACGCUGAUACGAGCUGGACUGCAAGCCGCUGUCUGCGAUUUCCCUGUGGAUCUUAGAACUUCCAUCGCCAAGACGAUCUCCGAAAGACACCCAUGUUGUUAAUAAUGGAGCACCCCCUGACGGUCCUGUGCCCUGGACCUGUGACAUUCUGGACUAGUUCUGUUCAUAGUUGUGGCUGAAUGUGACGUGUGUACAAUAAACCAUCUCUUUUGCUGUUGCA